rnacentral:rRNA from 1 species
AACGAACGCUGGCGGCAUGCCUAACACAUGCAAGUCGAACGAGACCUUCGGGUCUAGUGGCGCACGGGUGCGUAACGCGGGGGAACCUGCCUUUAGGUUCGGAAUAACUCAGAGAAAUUUGAGCUAAUACCGGAUGAUGUCUUCGGACCAAAGAUUUAUCGCCUUUAGAUGGGCCCGCGUUGGAUUAGCUAGUUGGUGGGGUAAAGGCCUACCAAGGCGACGAUCCAUAGCUGGUCUGAGAGGAUGAUCAGCCACACUGGGACUGAGACACAGCCCAGACUCCUACGGGAGGCGGGAGUGGGGGAUAUUGGACAAUGGGCGAAGGCCUGAUCCAGCAAUGCCGCGUGAGUGAUGAAGGCCUUAGGGUUGUAAAGCUCUUUUACCCGAGAUGAUAAUGACGGUAUCGGAAGAAUAAGCACCGGCUAACUCCGUG